rnacentral:rRNA from 1 species
UACGUAGGGUGCAAGCGUUAAUCGGAAUUACUGGGCGUAAAGCGUGCGCAGGCGGUUAUGUAAGACAGUUGUGAAAUCCCCGGGCUCAACCUGGGAACUGCAUCUGUGACUGCAUAGCUAGAGUACGGUAGAGGGGGAUGGAAUUCCGCGUGUAGCAGUGAAAUGCGUAGAGAUGUGGAGGAACACCAAUGGCGAAGGCAGCCUUCUGGGCCAACACUGACGCUCAUGCACGAAAGCGUGGGGAGCAAACAGG